AGAGUUUGAUCAUGGCUCAGGACGAACGCUGGCGGCGUGCUUAACACAUGCAAGUCGAACGAUGAACCACCUUCGGGUGGGGGAUUAGUGGCGAACGGGUGAGUAACACGUGGGCAAUCUGCCCUGCACUCUGGGACAAGCCCUGGAAACGGGGUCUAAUACCGGAUACUGACCUUCACGGGCAUCCGUGAAGGUCGAAAGCUCCGGCGGUGCAGGAUGAGCCCGCGGCCUAUCAGCUUGUUGGUGAGGUAACGGCUCACCAAGGCGACGACGGGUAGCCGGCCUGAGAGGGCGACCGGCCACACUGGGACUGAGACACGGCCCAGACUCCUACGGGAGGCAGCAGUGGGGAAUAUUGCACAAUGGGCGAAAGCCUGAUGCAGCGACGCCGCGUGAGGGAUGACGGCCUUCGGGUUGUAAACCUCUUUCAGCAGGGAAGAAGCGAAAGUGACGGUACCUGCAGAAGAAGCGCCGGCUAACUACGUGCCAGCAGCCGCGGUAAUACGUAGGGCGCGAGCGUUGUCCGGAAUUAUUGGGCGUAAAGAGCUCGUAGGCGGCUUGUCGCGUCGGUUGUGAAAGCCCGGGGCUUAACCCCGGGUCUGCAGUCGAUACGGGCAGGCUAGAGUUCGGUAGGGGAGAUCGGAAUUCCUGGUGUAGCGGCGAAAUGCGCAGAUAUCAGGAGGAACACCGGUGGCGAAGGCGGAUCUCUGGGCCGAUACUGACGCUGAGGAGCGAAAGCGUGGGGAGCGAACAGGAUUAGAUACCCUGGUAGUCCACGCCGU
rnacentral:rRNA from 1 species